GUGGGUAUAGCUCAGUGGUACAGCACAUGCUUAGCAUGCACUAACUCCUGGAUUCAAUCUCCCGUACCUCCA
rnacentral:tRNA from 1 species